UGGCCUGACUUAGAACUGGCGCUGGCGACGGGGAAUCCGACUGUUUAAUUAAAACAAAGCAUCGCGAAGGCCCGAGGCGGGUGUUGACGCGAUGUGAUUUCUACACAGUGCUCUGAAUGUUAAAGUGAAGAAAUUCAAUGAAGCGCGCGUGGAUGGCAGGAGUAACUAUGACUUUCUUAAGGUAGCCAAAUGCCUCGUCAUCUAAUUAGUGACGCGCAUGAAUGGAUGAAUGAGAUUCCCACUGUCCCUACCUACUAUCUAGCGAAACGACAGCCAAGGGAACGGGCUUGGCGGAAUCAGCGGGGAAAGACGACCCUGUUGAGCUUGACUCUAGUCUGCAACUGUGAA